rnacentral:rRNA from 1 species
UACGAAGGGGGGCUAGCGUUGUUCGGAAUUACUGGGCGUAAAGCGCACGUAGGCGGAUAUUUAAGUCAGGGGUGAAAUCCCGGGGGCUCAACCCCGGAACUGCCUUUGAUACUGGGUAUCUCGAGUCCGAGAGAGGUGAGUGGAAUUCCGAGUGUAGAGGUGAAAUUCGUAGAUAUUCGGAGGAACACCAGUGGCGAAGGCGGCUCACUGGCUCGGUACUGACGCUGAGGUGCGAAAGCGUGGGGAGCAAACAGGG